rnacentral:rRNA from 1 species
UACGUAGGGGGCAAGCGUUGUCCGGAAUCAUUGGGCGUAAAGCGCACGUAGGCGGUACAGCAAGCGGGGAGUGAAAGCCCUCGGCUUAACCGAGGAAGUGCUUUCCGAACUACUGGACUUGAGUACUGAAGAGGGUCGCGGAAUUCCCGGUGUAGAGGUGAAAUUCGUAGAUAUCGGGAGGAACACCAGUGGCGAAGGCGGCGACCUGGGCAGAUACUGACGCUGAGGUGCGAAAGCGUGGGGAGCAAACAGG